rnacentral:rRNA from 1 species
UACGUAGGGUGCGAGCGUUGUCCGGAAUUAUUGGGCGUAAAGAGCUCGUAGGCGGUUUGUCGCGUCGACUGUGAAAACCUACAGCUUAACUGUGGGCUUGCAGUCGAUACGGGCAGACUUGAGUUCGGUAGGGGAGACUGGAAUUCCUGGUGUAGCGGUGAAAUGCGCAGAUAUCAGGAGGAACACCGGUGGCGAAGGCGGGUCUCUGGGCCGAUACUGACGCUGAGGAGCGAAAGCGUGGGGAGCAAACAGG